rnacentral:rRNA from 1 species
AUUGAACGCUGGCGGCAUGCCUUACACAUGCAAGUCGAACGGCAGCGGACCUUCGGGUGCCGGCGAGUGGCGAACGGGUGAGUAAAGUAUCGGAACGUACCCUAGAGUGGGGGAUAACUAUCCGAAAGGAUAGCUAAUAACGCAUAUUCUAUGCGUAGGAAAGCAGGGGAUCUUCGGACCUAGCGCUCUAGGAGCGGCCGAUAUCAGAUUAGCUAGUUGGUGGGGUAAAGGCCUACCAAGGCGACGAUCUGUAGCGGGUCUGAGAGGAUGAUCCGCCACACUGGGACUGAGACACGGCCCAGACUCCUACGGGAGGCAGCAGUGGGGAAUUUUGGACAAUGGGCGCAAGCCUGAUCCAGCCAUGCCGCGUGAGUGAAGAAGGCCUUCGGGUUGUAAAGCUCUUUCGGCCGGGAAGAAAUCGUGUGGGCUAAUAAUCUGCAUGGAUGACGGUACCGGAAUAAGAAGCACCGGCUAACUACGUGCCAGCAGCCGCCGUAA